UACAGAGGGUGCAAACGUUGCUCGGAAUUAUUGGGCGUAAAGCGCGCGUAGGCGGUUCGGUAAGUCGACUGUGAAAGCCCUUGGCUCAACCAAGGAAGUGCAGUUGAUACUGCCGAACUCGAGUGCCGAAGAGGAUGGCGGAAUGCCCAGUGUAGAGGUGAAAUUCGUAGAUAUUGGGUAGAACACCGGUGGCGAAGGCGGCCAUCUGGGAGGUCACUGACGCUGAGGCGCGAAAGCGUGGGUAGCAAACAGGAUUAGAUACCCUGGUAGUCCACGCUGUAAACGAUGAGCACUAGAUGUUGCGGGUAUUGACCCCUGCAGUGUCGACGCUAACGCAUUAAGUGCUCCGCCUGGGGAGUACGGCCGCAAGGCUA
rnacentral:rRNA from 1 species